rnacentral:rRNA from 1 species
UUCCGGUUGAUCCCGCCGGACCUGACUGCUAUCGGAUUGAUACUAAGCCAUGCGAGUCUUUGCAGUAAUGCAAGGCAUACGGCUCAGUAACACGUAGUCAACUUACCCUAUGGACGAGGAUAAUCUCGGGAAACUGAGCAUAAUACUCGAUAGAUCAUAAUGCCUGGAAUGGUUUAUGGUUAAAAUGAUUCGUCGCCAUAGGAUGGGACUGCGGCCUAUCAGCUUGUUGGUGAGGUAAUGGCCCACCAAGGCGAUUACAGGUACGGGCUCUGAGAGGAGAAGCCCGGAGAUGGGUACUGAGACAAGGACCCAGGCCCUAUGGGGCGCAGCAGGCGAGAAAACUUUGCAAUGUGCGAAAGCACGACAAGGUUAAUCCGAGUGAUUUCUGCUAAAGAAAUCUUUUGCAAGUCAUAAAACCACUAGUGAAUAAGGGGUGGGCAAGUUCUGGUGUCAGCCGCCGCGGUAAAACCAGCACCUCAAGUGGUCAGGAGGAUUAUUGGGCCUAAAGCAUCCGUAGCCGGCUCUGUAAGUUUUCGGUUAAAUUCAUGUGCUCAACGCAUGAGCCGCCGAAAAUACUGCAUAGCUAGGGAGUGGGAGAGGUAGACGGUACUCGGUAGGAAGGGGUAAAAUCCUUUGAUCUAUCGAUGACCACCUGUGGCGAAGGCGGUCUACCAGAACACGUUCGACGGUGAGGGAUGAAAGCUGGGGGAGCAAACCGGAUUAGAUACCCGGGUAGUCCCAGCUGUAAACGAUGCAGACUCGAUGAUGCAUUGGCAUAUAGCCAGUGCAGUGUCGCAGGGAAGCCGUUAAGUCUGCCGCCUGGGAAGUACGUACGCAAGUAUGAAACUUAAAGGAAUUGGCGGGGGAGCACCACAAGGGGUGAAGCCUGCGGUUCAAUUGGAUUCAACGCCGGG